rnacentral:sRNA from 1 species
UUCUGAAACACAAAUGGACAAAAAUGAAGGGAAAUCUUGCCUUCUACAGGCAAUUAAAAAGGGAGGUUUUUGCUUUUAAAUGAGAAAGGAAAAUACCUUUUUGGUACUACUGUCAUUCACUUUUCUUAAAGGACAUUACCCAGAAAAAUGGAAGGCAAAAAAUUUUGAUUUUUUUCAACUGGAAAGCUGGACGUAAAGAAAGAAGUGAUGCACUCAAUUCUGCAAUAGAUAAAAUGACCAAGAAGACCAGGGACUUGCGUAGACAGCUCCGCAAAGCUGUCAUGGACCACGUUUCAGAUUCUUUCCUGGAAACAAAUGUUCCACUUUUGGUGUUGAUUGAAGCUGCAAAGAAUGGAAAUGAGAAAGAAGUUAAGGAGUAUGCCCAAGUUUUCCGUGAACAUGCCAACAAAUUGAUUGAGGUUGCCAACUUGGCCUGUUCCAUCUCAAAUAAUGAAGAAGGUGUAAAGCUUGUUCGAAUGUCUGCAAGCCAGUUAGAAGCCCUCUGUCCUCAGGUUAUUAAUGCUGCAUUGGCUUUAGCAGCAAAACCACAGAGUAAACUGGCCCAAGAGAACAUGGAUCUUUUUAAAGA